rnacentral:rRNA from 1 species
AUGCUACACUACCAGAACUGUCAGAAGCUCAACAUUGCAACGCAAUAUUUCAAGGACUUUUUGGGUCAAUCUGCUCCCUCCUUGCCAACGAUCCAGCUUUCCGCUUUGUACAUCACAGUCGACCUCUCGGAGCUUACGGACAGUUUCUCCUGGGCUGAAGUGGUGCAGGCCAUCACCAAGGCCCCAAACAACAAGAGCCCUGGGCCGGAUGGUUUCACGAAUGAGUUCUACAAGUCUUUCUUGCCUCUUCUGAAAAAUGAUCUGCUUGCCUUCCUGGCGGACUUCCACAACAACUCUCUGUCUCUCAAGGGGAUCAACACGGCAUAUAUUACUUUAUUGCCGAAGAAGGACACGCCUUUGGAAAUGCGAGACUACAGGCCCAUAUCGCUUGUGCACAGCGCACCAAAACUGGUUUCCAAAGUUUUGACAAACAGACUG